UAUGGAUGAGAAAUGCGGAUAUGG
rnacentral:piRNA from 1 species